UAAACGACUCUCGGCAACGGAUAUCUCGACUCUCACAUGGAUGAAAAACGUAGCGAAAUGCGAUACUUGGUGUGAAUUGCAGAAUCCCGUGAACCAUCGAGUCUUUGAACGCAAGUUGCGCCCGAAGCCAUCCGGCCGAGGGCACGUCUGCCUGGGCGUCACGCAUCGCGUCGC
rnacentral:rRNA from 1 species